UCACACCGACUCUUCAACUCCCAUAUCCUAAUCGCGUCCACUCAACUCCAUCUCCUGACCAAGGCGUUCCUCCGAUGGGGACAAGCGCCUCCAAGAACUCCGACAGCUCCCAUGGCCGCCGCGACGGCCAGCUCUACGUCUCCCUUAAGAUGGAGAACUUCAACAUCAGAGGCGAUCUCAUCCCCCACGUCUACGGCUCCGCCCCCGUCACCGGUUCUUGGGACUCCGCUAAGGCCCUCUCGAUGGCCCGGGAGUCGGCGUCGACGUGGGAGCUCAGCUUCGUCGUGCCCCCCAAUCACGAGACGCUGGACUUCAAGUUCUUGCUGAAGCCGAAGUACAGCAACGUGCCAUGCGUGGUGGAGGAGGGGCCGAGCCGGUUGCUCACUGGAGGGAUGCUGCAAGAGGAGGAUGCCAGGUCGGCGCUGUUCAAGGUGGGCGGAUAUGAGGAGGUUCUUGAGUACAAGUUGUUCAUUAAGGUGGACAUAGUGUCCCCGUUCGAUCUUGCAGCUAGUUGGAGGGCAUAUCAGGAGAAUCUUGAGCCGUCGAGGGUACGAGGGAUUCCAGAUGUCAGUAUCAAUGUUGCACCCGAUAAUAUGGGUUCGGAGAAUGGGCCAGCAUCCACUUUGGAGCUUGAUUUAGAACACUAUGUUGUUCCAGCACCAUCUUCCAGCGUUGGUGUAGUUUAUGCAGCUAAUUUGACAGAGACACCAAGAUCCUUGGUUAAUACUGGAAUUUCCUCCAAGAAUGAUGCCUCAAGUGGAAGUUCAUAUGACUCGAGUAAAGCUGGUGUUUUUUCACUUGACCAUUCCAACAGCCAGAAGGAUAUGGAUUCUAUGGUCUUGGAUCCUACCAAACUUCUUCCAGCUCCUGGUAUGGUUGAAUCGAAGUCGGUUGGCACGUUUUCACCGUUGCUAAAGGAAGAUGGCCAAAAAGGACUCUUAGUUGAUAGGGGUGUGGGCUCUCCUAGACUUGUUAAAUCAGCUAGUGCAGGUGCAGUCACAUUUGAUCCCAAGUUGGGCUCUGAGACAAAGAAGGCCAUGCCAGCAGCAGCUGGAGCAGUUGCAGCCGCAGCUGUAGCUGAUCAGAUGCUUGGACCAAAGGAGGAUAGUAGGUUGGCCAUUGUGUUGGUUGGUUUGCCAGCCCGGGGAAAGACCUUCACAGCAGCCAAGCUUACUAGAUAUCUGCGUUGGUUAGGUCAUGAGACCAAACAUUUCAAUGUUGGCAAGUAUCGCCGCCUUAAGCUUGGAACAAACCAGUCUGCUGAUUUUUUUCGUGGGGACAAUCCAGAAGGUUUGGAGGCUCGCAAUGAGGUGGCUGCUUUAGCUAUGGAUGAUAUGAUAGCCUGGAUGCAAGAAGGAGGUCAGGUUGGUAUCUUUGAUGCAACAAAUAGCACCAGAAACCGAAGGAAUAUGCUCAUGAAAAUGGCUGAAGGAAAAUGUAAGAUCAUAUUUCUGGAAACAAUUUGCAAUGACAAACACAUAAUAGAAAGAAAUAUCCGCCUGAAAAUUCAACAAAGUCCUGAUUAUGCAGAAGAACUUGAUUUUGAAUCUGGAAUGCGGGACUUCAAAGAACGCUUAGCUAAUUAUGAAAAGGUAUAUGAGCCGGUAGAGGAGGGUUCUUAUGUCAAAAUGAUUGACAUGGUCAGCGGACAAGGUGGCCAGAUACAAGUUAACAACAUCAGUGGUUAUCUUCCUGGCCGAAUUGUCUUCUUCUUGGUGAAUACUCAUCUCACACCCCGGCCUAUUCUGCUUACUCGGCAUGGUGAAAGUCGAGAUAAUGUCAGAGGAAGAAUUGGAGGUGACGCAGUUUUGAGCGAAGCUGGUGAACUUUAUGCAAAGAAACUUGCAAACUUUGUUGAGAAGAGACUGAAGUCUGAGAGGACAGCUUCUAUAUGGACUAGCACACUACAAAGAACAAUACUAACUGCAAGCCCAAUUGUUGGAUUCCCAAAGAUACAAUGGCGCGCUCUUGAAGAGAUAAAUGUUGGAGUUUGUGAUGGAAUGACUUGUGAAGAAAUAAAGAAAAACAUGCCCGACGAAUAUGUAUCUCGUAAGAAGGACAAGCUUAGAUAUCGAUACCCUCGUGGGGAGUCAUACUUGGAUGUCAUUCAAAGACUGGAACCUGUAAUUAUUGAGCUCGAACGACAACGUGCACCGGUUGUUGUCAUUUCUCACCAGGCCGUGUUGAGAGCAUUGUAUGCAUAUUUUGCUGACAGACCACUAAAAGAAAUUCCGGACAUUGAGGUGCCACUUCACACAAUAAUUGAGAUACAAAUGGGGGUUACUGGUGUCCAAGAGAAAAGAUACAAACUCAUGGAUUAAUUCAUUUCCAUAAGACUGGCUGUCUGCUUGAAAGGAAGCAACUCCAAUCACUUUCUUGGUGACAUUUACCACCUAAUGAAAAAGAAGAAGAAAAAAACAGUUAAUUUCUUCAUCUUUUGUGUGCUUUGCUUUUCAAGCAACGAGACAUUGUGUAUUUCAUAGUUAUAGCAGGUAGCAUUCUUGGAGUACCAAACAGAUUUAGAAGAACACUGAAUUUGCUGAAGAGGUCUUCUGUUGAGGUGAAUCCUUUGCCCCUCUUAGAUGAGACUUAUAAUGGUAAAAGGCAUAAUCGAUCAGUUACUAUCCGAGUAUGGAGAAAUUAUAUACAGCGAUUCUAUCUAUUUUUGUUGUCUCAGAUUAAGAUUUCCUUGAACUUCCAUAAUUGAAGUGUUUGAUGUUGAUGAAAUUCAAGGAUAGCAUGCAGGUUCCUACGUUCAAGGACACUUCGUUCGUUCCACUGAUGGAAGAAAUGAGCUUCCCAAAGGAUCUGAAGUUAUCUUUUUUGUUGAUAUCCGUGGAAGAUUACCAUGACUGUCCAGCAUAUAUUUUCUACUACAUGGUGUUGUGUAGGCAUGCUUUCUGCAAAAGCCUGUGUGUGGCCGCGACCUGGCAACGACGGACUAUGGCUCAGUAUCGCUUUGGCGGUAGCCUCCGCAAGCGAUGGCUUCAAGAGAUGCUUUGCGGAACUCCUUUGAUGACAUGGUCGGUUGGGAUGGCAGGUAGUGUACAUCAUUUGACGAGCUGUGAGCCAUGCUGAUGAUCAGAUCAGAUCAGAUCAGGUUCAAACAGAUUAUGCAGGAGAGCGGAGGUCUGCUUAAUUUUUCUGGAAACCUUCGUUCAAACAAGUGUUGUGACAGCCAACACUUGGUUUCGAAGGAGAAUGAAACCGACCUCUCGUUGCCGCAUGCAUGUCGGCAUCGAGGCAUUCCACCGUCCUACGUACACGUGCAGAGAAGAUAGACAUCCAAGAGUCGGUGGCCAGGCUACGCAUUCCAAAGCACGACAGAGAGCCCAAAGACAAAAGCGUGGGAGUACGUGUACAACCUGCGGGGCUUUCCUUCCCGAUGUCGCUACUAUUUAGUUGAUCCAGGAGAGCGAGCGAGAGAACGAGGAGGGGAUAAGAGCCAUGGAGGAUAGCGUCGAUGCGAGCGAGAGCUUCGUCUCUCUUUCAUCCAUCCUGAAGCCAGAAGACCCAUCCAACGGAGGGCCUGCAGCAGAUAGCGAUGAGGAAGCAGAAGAGAUAAUGGCCGCCAAGAAGCGAGAUGCUGUAGACUCCAGCCUCAAGGGAGCCAAAGAGGUUGACGAUGGUGUCGGGUUCAUCGGUCGUCUUGUGUCUAACUUGACCGUCUCCGUUCCGGGCGGCCCUGUCGAGGGGACCGAGGAUAAUCACAAGAAAGAAGAAGAAGAAGAAGAAGAAGAAGAAGAAGGUGGAGGGCUCAUCAACCGUCUCUUCCCCUACUUGCCUGUUACCAUGCCAGACGAGCAAUCUCCUUCAGCGGAUGAGGCCUCGCUUCUCAUCUCUAUCAUCGAAGACUAGGGAUAAUAAAGACAAAGAGGAGAUCAACGUUAUUGUGGUUUCCAUUCUGCUUGUACAUGUUCCAUCUCUCAGGUCAACUUUUCUCUUGAGAGGUCUACUUCCAAUUCCAUCCAGCUGACAAUUUGUUGCUACAAGGCUGGUGGCUUGUCACCCAUCCCUAUGCGCCAUGCAAAUGAUGUCUAAGCUCCAUGUAAAUGCCAUUUUAAUUCCAGUUAAUCAAUGUACUUAUGCGUGCUGGAGAUUGAACCUCAUGUUAUUAGAUAAUUUAUGAUGUUUACGCAAUGACACAUGAAGACGACGACAUAUGGAUAUGGUGCCUAUGCGACUUUA